rnacentral:tRNA from 1 species
GGAGAGAUGGCAGAGUGGUUGAUUGCACCGGUCUUGAAAACCGGCAUGCCAGUAAUGGUAUCGAGGGUUCGAACCCCUCUCUCUCCGCCA